UGUGGUUAAUUAUAAUUUCAAGAUGGCGGGUUUUCUAGAAGCUUGUCAGCAUUGUUGCUAUUAUUGUCUCCGAGGUCUCUAUUGGGUACCCGUCGGUUUUGUGGUACUAAUAUUGACGUGGGGCUACUAUGUAUACGUGUACACUUUACACUUAUCAGGUGAAUUCGUAAAGCCUAUUCCAGUCAGUGUUUUAUUCCUAUUCAUUGGUCAUAUCUUACUCUUUCUUCACGUUUCGUCAUAUGCGA